UAAAGCUUCAAACUGGGAUUAGAUACCCCACUAUUCUUAGAAGUAAAUAGAUUUUAUUCUACCAGAGUACUACGAACCACUUAUUUAAAACUCAAAGAACUUGGCGGUGCCUUAGACCCCUCAGGGGAACCUGUUUCAUAAUCGACAAUCCACGUUACACCUUACCUUUUUUGGCAAUCAGUAUGUAUACCGUCGUCGUCAGGUAACUUUUAAGAACAAAGAAGUUAACAAAAAAGAACUUACCUCUUACGUCAGAUCAAGGUGCAGCUAAUAAAAAGGAGAGAAUGGGUUACAAUUAAAACUUAUAAUACGAAAAGAAAAUUUAAAUUUUUACUGAAGGAGGACUUGAAAGUAAGCUAAAAUUACAAAAAUUAUCUGAAUCAUUAAAUUGGCUCUUAGGCGUGCACACACCGCCCGUCACCCUCUGCAGUCAA
rnacentral:rRNA from 1 species